rnacentral:rRNA from 1 species
AUACGGAGGGUGCAAGCGUUAAUCGGAAUUACUGGGCGUAAAGCGCGCGUAGGCGGUUUAGUAAGUCGGAUGUGAAAGCCCUGGGCUCAACCUGGGAAUUGCAUUCGAUACUGCUUGACUAGAGUAUGAUAGAGGGAAGUGGAAUUUCCGGUGUAGCGGUGAAAUGCGUAGAUAUCGGAAGGAACACCAGUGGCGAAGGCGACUUCCUGGCCCAAUACUGACGCUCAGGUGCGAAAGCUAGGGGAGCAAACGGAAUUAGAAACCCCAGUAGUCC